rnacentral:piRNA from 2 species
UGUUUUUUGUUCUAUGAACUAUGGAGAAGAC